GACGAACGCUGGCGGCGUGCUUAACACAUGCAAGUCGAGCGGUAAGGCCUUUCGGGGUACACGAGCGGCGAACGGGUGAGUAACACGUGGGUGAUCUGCCCUGCACUCUGGGAUAAGCCUGGGAAACUGGGUCUAAUACCGGAUAUGACUCCAUGCUGCAUGGUGUGUGGUGGAAAGAUUUAUCGGUGCAGGAUGGGUCCGCGGCCUAUCAGCUUGUUGGUGGGGUAAUGGCCUACCAAGGCGACGACGGGUAGCCGACCUGAGAGGGUGACCGGCCACACUGGGGCUGAGACACGGCCCAGACUCCUACGGGAGGCAGCAGUGGGGAAUAUUGCACAAUGGGCGGAAGCCUGAUGCAGCGACGCCGCGUGAGGGAUGAAGGCCUUCGGGUUGUAAACCUCUUUCAGCAGGGACGAAGCGUGAGUGACGGUACCUGCAGAAGAAGCACCGGCUAACUACGUGCCAGCCGCCGCCGUAA
rnacentral:rRNA from 1 species